rnacentral:rRNA from 1 species
UAUGUCCUACGGGGGGCAGCAGUGGGGGAUAUUGCACAAUGGGGGAAACCCUGAUGCAGCGACGCCGCGUGUGGGAAGAUGGUCCUCUGGAUUGUAAACCACUGUCCCCAGGGACGAAGAUGACGGUACCUGGGGAGGAAGCUCCGGCUAACUACGUGCCAGCAGCCGCGGUAAUACGUAGGGAGCGAGCGUUGUCCGGAAUUACUGGGCGUAAGGGGAGCGUAGGCGGGGAUGCAAGUUGGGUGUCAAAACUACCGGCUCAACUGGUAGUCGCACUCAAAACUGCAGCUCUUGAGUGAAGUAGG